rnacentral:ncRNA from 2 species
UUCCGUCACUCUGGAGAGCAGCCGCCGAAUGGGCGGCCACCGAAGGGGCGCGCAGCCGGGUGAGCAUCAGGCUGUAAUCUCUCAGGUAUCAGGGACAGAGGGGUAACG